rnacentral:tRNA from 1 species
GGCGCUGUGGCUCAAAUGGUAGAGCGUUAGCCUGGAGCUGAAGAGCUGAGGGACAGCGCCC